UGAAGCAAAGAAUACAGUGAAUCGGGCAGUGGAUAUGACGUCUGACAAGGCUAAUGAUGCAGUGGAAUAUGGUAAACAAAAAACUGCCAAUGCAUAUGAUGGAGCCAAAGAGACAAUGAACAUGGCCUCGGAUAAGGCCUACGAUGCCAAAGAAAAGGUGGCGGGAGGAGUUGAUUAUGGAAGGGAAAGAGCAACGAAUUCAUAUGAUGAAGCGAAACAAAAGGUUGGGGAGUCGUACGCGUCUGCUAAGGCCUACGAUGCCAAAGAAAAGGUGGCAGGAGGAAUUGGUUACGGAAGGGAAAGAGCAGCGAAUUCAUAUGAUGAAGCUAAACAAAAGGUUGGGGAGUCGUACGCGUCUGUUAAGGAUAGUAUGACUUCGCAUGCCAAAGAUAACUAUGAGGCUGCCAAGGGAGGAAUCGAUUACGGAAGGGAAAGAGCAGCGGAUGCAUAUGGUGAAGCCAAACAAAAGGUUGGGGAUUCAUACGCGUCGGCUAAGGAUAGUAU
rnacentral:lncRNA from 1 species